GGGCACAUGGUGUAGUUGGUUAUCACAUCCGCUUAGCAUGAGUUACCGGGCAUGCGUUUGCGGGGGGUGCUGGGUUCAAUUCCCAGUGUGUCCA